rnacentral:rRNA from 1 species
UUAAGCAUAUCAAUAAGCGGAGGAAAAGAAACUAACAAGGAUUCCCCUAGUAACGGCGAGUGAAGCGGGAAGAGCUCAAAUUUGAAAGCUGGCGCCUUCGGCGUCCGCGUUGUAAUCUCGAGAAGUGUUUUCCGUGCUGGACCAUGUACAAGUUCCUUGGAAUAGGACGUCAUAGAGGGUGAAAAUCCCGUCCUUGACAUGGACGCCCAGUGCUUUGUGAUACGCUCUCCACGAGUCGAGUUGUUUGGGAAUGCAGCUCAAAAUGGGUGGUAAAUUCCAUCUAAAGCUAAAUAUUGGGGAGAGACCGAUAGCGAACAAGUACCGUGAGGGAAAGAUGAAAAGCACUUUGGAAAGAGAGUUAAACAGUACGUGAAAUUGUCGAAAGGGAAGCGCUUGAAGUUAGACAUGCCUGCUGGAAUUCAGCCUUGCUUUUUGCUUGGUGUAUUUUCCGGUGAGCAGGCCAGCAUCAGUUUUGUCUGUCGGAUAAGGGUAGGAGGAACGUAGCCCCCCUCGGGGGGUGUUAUAGCCUCUUACUGGAUACGGCGGAUGGGACUGAGGACCGCAGUGUGCCUUUAUGGCGGGCCUUCGGGCACCUUCACACUUAGGAUGCUGGCGUAAUGGCUUUAAGCGACCCGU